UCCCCGUUACCGGGGCAGUCUGAAUAGAAAAAUACAACUAUUCAUAAGGGUUGCGCUCGUUGAAGGACUUAACCUAACAUCUCACGACACGAGCUGACGACGGCCAUGCAGCACCUGUCACUGCGCUCAAUAAAGCACUCUCGUCUUUCGACAAAAUUCAAGGGAUGUCAAGCCCUGGUAAGGUUCUUCGUUUAUCAUCGAAUUAAAGAACACGCUCCACCGCUUGUGCGGGUCCCCGUCAAUUCCUUUAUGUUUUAGUCUUGCGACCGUACUCCACAGGCGGGAUGCUUAACGCGUUAGCUUCGCUACGGAAGGGGUCGAUACCCCCCACAGCUAGCAUCCAUCGUUUACGGCGUGGACUAC
rnacentral:misc_RNA from 1 species